rnacentral:misc_RNA from 1 species
ACGUGCGCAUUUUUCUCUGGUUACUGAAAGAAAGUGUCGAUUGUCAAACGGACGGUGUGUACCAACUAAGGGCGGACGAUGGUUUUGCAAAAAAUGUCGAUUAGCAAAAUGCUCGGAGGCGGGGAUGAACAGUAGGAACAUACAAUACGACCGUGAUGCUAAUAAAACGUCACUUUUGAGCUCUACAAAUGUGAAUCGAAACAUGAAAAAUAAAAAUGCUAUUCCAAAUUGAACCAAAUGCAUGUCCAGUUGUCGAUAUAUCCCUAUUGGUUGACAAAGCUACCAACUACAUUCUGAAUCCAGUUUUAAUAAGAAAAGAUGGCGAUAUGUCAAACUUGGAGCAAUUAUCACUUGGAUUACAAGACAUUCAAUCGUCGCAAAAAGAAAAUGUUCUGGAAAAAAAGUUCAUUACAAUCGCUGACCAUAUGAAGCAAUUUGAAAAAGCUAUGUGUGCAACAGCAAAAUGGUUGGCGUGCUCCAAAAAAAUACAGAGCUUUGAUGAUGACGUCAAAAUUAAAAUUUUGAGAACUGUCUGGUUUAAUUGGGGACGCUUGGAGCAUAUGACAGCAACAGCUAAAAUGAGGAUUCGGGGAAGCUGUGGGAAAGAACAAUUAAUGUUCUCCUCUGACACAAAACUGAACUUUGGCAAUGUGCACAUUGAUCUAAGCUGCUUUUCUAAAUAUUCAUUCGAACAAAUGCGCUACUUUUUCUCUCCAAAUGAAGUAUACUACGAUGAAGCCAUUUCUAAAAUGGUGGAGAUGCAACCCAGUGAUAUUGAAUUAACUUAUCUCAUAUGUGCGAUUUGUUUUCAUAUUACAGGCAAACACUUCGGAGGUGAUAUUGAAGAAGAAAUGGGCCAUUUACAAGAUGUUUUGGCCAGUGAUCUCCACGAUUAUUAUUGCAAAAAUAAUUUUCCCAUGUAUCUUUUGCGACUGAAACAGUUGCUAAAAAUCAAGGACACUUUUGUGAAGCUCAGGAAUAUUCGGCUCGAGAAGUAUGAAAUUGGCGGAGUCUUUAAAGUCAUCAAUAUGGAGUUUUCUCAAUGUACGCACCAAGAAUACUUUCAUGUUCCCUGUUGA